rnacentral:misc_RNA from 1 species
AAGUCGUAACAAGGUUUCCGUAGGUGAACCUGCGGAAGGAUCAUUAAAGAAUUCGGCUUCGCGGCCAAGUUCUCACCCUUUGUAUACCGAAACUAUGUUGCUUUGGCAGGCCCCUGCAUUCUCGGCCGGCCGCAGGUGUUAACCACUAGAAUAUCUGCUGUCUGAGUACUAUACAAUAGUUAAAA